GUGAGAAUGCCCUUAAAAUCAACAUGAUAAGAAGGAGCGGGUAUCAAGUGCACACAAAAGUAGCUCAAUACACCUUGUACAACCACACCCCCACGGGAAACAGCAGUGAUAAAAAUUAAGCUAUGAACGAAAGUUCGACUUAGUUAUGCAAUUUACCUAGGGUUGGUAAAUCUCGUGCCAGCCACCGCGUUAUACGAUUGACCCGAAUUAAUAAACACCGGCGUAAAGAAUGUUUAGGAAUAUGAUCAAACUAAGAUUAAAAUUUAUCUAUAUCGUAAAAAAUUCUAGACAAAUCAAAACUCAAUAAACGCAAGUAAUCUUAUAAUAUCUGAACACAUGACAGCUCAGACCCAAACUGGGAUUAGAUACCCCACUAUGCUGAGCCGUAAACAUAAAUUAUUAAAUGAAACAAAAUAUUUCGCCAGAGGACUACCAGCAACAGCUAAAAACUCAAAGGACUUGGCGGUGCUUCACACCCACCUAGAGGAGCCUGUUCUAUAAUCGAUAAACCCCGAUAAACCUCACCACUAUUUGCUAAUACAGCUUAUAUACCGCCAUCUUCAGCGAACCUUUAUAAAGAAAAAAAGUAAGCACAAUCACAAGCAUAAAGACGUUAGGUCAAGGUGUAGCCAAUAAAGUGGGAAGAAAUGGGCUACAUUUUCUUAACAAAGAACAUCUAAACGAAAGCCAUUAUGAAAUUUAAUAGUGCAAGGAGGAUUUAGUAGUAAAUUGAGAAUAGAGAGCUUAAUU
rnacentral:rRNA from 1 species